rnacentral:lncRNA from 1 species
CAGUCUACGGGCUAGGAGCUCACCCGAGUCUGCAUUGGUCCCCCCUUGCCCCCUAGGAGCCCUAGUUCACAGGGAAAAUUGUUGAAAAUCAAACAACGGCAAAUAAGCAAAUCUGCAUGCCAGAAGCAGUUGGCAAACAUUAAAUACUGCAGUAAUUUUCAAACUACGGUUUGUGUACAAGACUGGAUGUGCUCCAACAUCCGGCAAGACCCUCAGCAGGCUGGGAACAGUUCCUACUGAGCUGCCUGGUCUGCAUUGUGAAGCUCACAGAUGCGGAGCUGGUUUGUCAUCCAAUCGAAAUUCCUGAGGCCAGACAACACAAGGUCACCAAUGAAGAUUGUGUCUUGACAGGCCUCUCGGGGAAGUGAAAAUCACCAGGCUUUGAUUUGCACCCAUGGUCGUUGCAGGCUCCAAAAGAUGUCAUUGUUAGAUACUUCCUGUGUUUUCCUUCAGAGUCACAAUACGUCAGGCUCAGCUAAAUGAAGAACUAAAUUAAAACUGUCAUUUCAGCUCAUAAAUAACAGAUGUCUAAUGCAUUUAAUUAUUUAUAGUCUUGAAUCUUUCAAAAAUGAAAAUGACUAUACACAUUUUUAAUGCAGCUCUUGGUAAUUUGCUGCCUGACUGAUAAGAUGUGCCGAUAAUCCUAGCUUGCAAACAUGAAAAAUAAAACUGAGACUGA